UCUGGCUCUUUAAAACCCUAAUUCACUACAAUCAUCUCAAAAUCAAAGAGAGAAACCGAAAUUCAAUCGAUUCUAAGCUAAAUUCGUGAUCUUCAUACUUUGUAGAUCACAAGCUAUGUCUUAUGCAGCAAUUUGGGUGGGCCGUCUAGUAAUCAAGGAGGAUCGGACAACUGUUUGAAAGGAAAGCUUUAAAAGGUAACUUUAGGUAAUAGACGGAUGGCAAUCAAGCUAACGAACGAACCGAAUACACACAUAAUUAAAGCUUCCGCCACUAAAUCAACUUUUGUACUAAACUCUUUGAGUUUGUUUUGUCUAAA
rnacentral:lncRNA from 1 species